CUGAGCCACCGCAACGUGUGGCAGGGCCAACUAGUCAUAUUAUAAAGUAGUUGUGUUCUUUUAUAAAUCAAGCACUGCUAGUUGUUGUCGUUUUUGUUUUCCAAUGUAUUUCUUAUCAGUAAAAAAAUUGAUGUGGCACAAGCAAAUUUUUAUUCUGAAAAUGUGGCUCAGAGAAAAAGUUUGAGAACCACUUCAUAAGCUUUUGUGUGAGUAAAUCAGGAUGAAUGAUUAAUAGAUUGUCUGGAGGACCCUCGUGUCACUUUGAUCCCACUGAACUGAGCUUGUGAAAUAUGUUGCAGUUGAGCUUGAAUGGAUUAUUUUACUCCUCAAAUGUCUUUUCUGUCUUGCUGUCUGCACUGAUCUUGCUAUUAGUACUCCUCUGUCAACUGGAUCUCUCUCUCUCUCUCAAAACUAUUAAGAAUCUUACUCUUUUGUUUUCUUUUCCUAACGGGUACUGUUAGCCAUAUUUAAGUCCACUGAUUGCAAUUCUAAUUAUGACAUACCGGUAGUUGGAUAUAACCCAUUGAUUCUGAGAGUAUGGAUUCCAGUCCAUUGACCAGCAAAAUUAGGUUUAAUUUAGUAUGUUUUUAUUUUGAUACAUGUCAAAAAGGGAGAAAAAGAUAUGGAAGAGGAUGGAUGUUUGUCAGCAGAAGGGGAGGUUGGAAUAGAUGGCCCUUGGGGUUCCUUCCAACUCUACAAUUCUAUGAUUCUAAUUAUUCUAAGUGAUUUAUGUUUUAAUUGUGAUGUUCUAGUAUGUUAGUUAUGUAUUGUUCAUAAGCAGCUUUAUGACUGAGUGAAAAGCAGCAUUGAAAUAAGAUUAUUUCAAAGUUCUUGCUCUCUAUAGUAUUUUGCAAUUCCCCCCCCCAAAAAAAAUUCUCACCAGUUCAGAAACCCCCCCAAGUCUAUAGAACGAAUGCAAGAUCUCUGAAAAUUGAAGUGUGGUGGUUUUGCACACAACUGUCAGUUUUCAUUUUUUUAAAGUUCCAAUUGUAACCAUAAGCACAAGAUGUGAAUUUUAUUGGUUUCAAAUUAUACAGAUUGACAUGAUUAUAAUCACUGAUAUUUUAUGCUAGCUGCUCAUUACACAUUACAAGGAUUCACAAGCAGUGCAAUAAGUUUUUUAAAACAAAAAAUAAGGCUCUAAUUUUGUGCCCAUGUGCUUGAAAGUCCACUGAAUGCAGUGGAUAUUUUAUUUCUGAGGAAAUAUGCAUAGAAUCAGGCUGCACAUUCAGCUUAAUAGUCAAAUAGAUCAAAGUGAUAUAAAACUAAAAAAAUGUACUUGAUUGUGUAUCUACUCUACAGGAUAUGAAAUUCUGUUCUGGAACACGUAUUGCUGUUUCUCUGUGUUGGUUGAUUGAAUCUCCCUUUGGCUCACUCAGGCUUUUAAGUGCACCUUACCUUUUAUAAAAGCACUUCAGGACCAUCUUCCUUGUAAUUUCCUCUUCUUUGAAAUCAGACCCCACAUCUUCAUUUCUUAAUAACUACUAAGAUGAUGGUCAUCUGUUCACACACCCUUAUUUCCCUUGCACUUAUGUUUUCAGUCUUUGUAGUCCACAACUAUGUCAUUUCAUUUACAGACAUGCAUGCUAUGUUCUUCUCUGCUCAGGGCAAGACAAAAUGUUACAGACACCAUAACUACAAAGCCAUUCCAAAUUUUGUAAAGAUAGAAUUACUGGUUAGUAGGGGGGUGCAUUGGCCACAACUGUAGGCUUUUAUCUGUACAUUUAGAAAGCAGCCUAAUUUUUUGAGCUGUUCUGUGUCCUUCCAGUUUGGCUUGUUAUUUGGGACUAGAUUAGAUCCAUCAAAAACAAAGCUUAUUCCCUUGGAUCUCAAAUGCCUUGGCUCCCGAACAAAUCGUUUCCCAAAUGAUUGAAACCCGGAAGUGAGUGUUCCGUUUAUCGAACGAUUUUCGGAAGCCGAACGUCUGGCGCUUCCUGCAGCCAAUCAGAAGCUUUGGAAGUUGAACGGACCUCUGGAAUGGAUUCUGUUUGACUUCCAAGGUACAACUGUAAUGGGGAAUCUAAAAAUGGCUAUAGCCCCAUCCACAUUUUCACAGAAUUGAAUGAAAUUGGCAGGCAUGCAGUCGCCUCUUCUAAGGGACUGAAGCAUGACAAAUUUUGGAAUGAGAACGAUAGUGAAUCUGCCACAAGGGCUGGCAUUACCUCUCUCUCUCUCUCUCUCUCUCUCUGUGUGUGUGUGUGUGUGAGAGAGAGAGAGAGAGAGAGAGAGAGAGAGAUGGAAAAUAACACAAGUCUGGAAUGGAGAAAAUGGUCACUGGUAGGGGAUGUGCUCUGUGCCUCGCAAUAGAUUUUUGGGAUAAAGCCUCUUUUCUCAUUGACUUAUAGGGAAAGGGGUGGAGGAGAAAUAGAAUAGGCCACCCCCCGCCAUUAUUUAUUUAUUUAUUUGAUCCUGCCUUUUUCCCUGACAGGGAUUCUAGGCAGCUUACAUAUAAACUAAGGUAAAGGUAAAGGUACCUCUGACCAUUAGAUCCAGUCAUGACCAACUCUGGGGUUGCAACGCUCAUCUCGUUUAUUGGCCAAGGGAACCAGCGUAUAGCUUCCAGGUCAUGUGGCCAGCAUGACAAAGCCGCUUCUGGUGAACCAGAGCAGCGCACGGAAACGCCGUUUACCUUCCCACUGUAGCGGUACCUAUUUAUCUACUUGAACUUUGACGUGCUUUCGAACUGGUAGGUUGGCAGGAGCAGGGACCAAGCAACGGGAGCUCACCCCGUCGCGGGGAUUCGAACCGCCAACCUUUUGAUCAGCAAGCCCUAGGCUCUGUGGUUUAACCCACAGAAGAGUUAAAAACAUGGAAAAAUAAUAAUUAAAAAACUAUCAAACAUUAAUAGAAUUAAAACACACACACAUGUAUGUAUGUAUGUAUGUAUGUAUGUAUGUAUGUAUGUAUGUAUAAAUCUAUUUACAGAUGUAUAAAUCUAUACAGAUAAUUACCAUAAAAACAGCAUGGGACCAGCCCUUUCAUUAAAAGCAGUUGGUUCCCAAAAGCCUGUUGGAACAAGAAAGUCUUCACUUGCCGACUGAGAGACAACAAGGAGGGAGCCAGUCUAACUUCUCUAGAAAAGGUUUUUCAAAGUUUGGGAGCAGCCACCACCAAGAAGGACCUUUCUUGUUAUCCUAAUGGUCAUUUUGUCAGGGUGGGAUCGGCCUUUGUCCCUCCCUCCCAGUAUUUUUGCAGAUACAAUGGAGAUCUCUCAAUUUCUUGCAUUGAGGAGGGCAAAGAUCUGCAUGGGAAAGUUGUUAAUUUUUCCUGCAAAUUGCUGUGACAAAAUAAUUGACUAUGAUUAAAAAAAAAAACUAGACCUGUCUGCCAUAAUAAAAGAUCCCCAUCUCUCCCCUCUUGAAUUCUGGGCUUCACCAUCACUCAGCUUUUUUCUCAGAAAACAUAAUUGUGCGGAGUUUCCGAACCAUCUUCAAAGGCAGCCCCACGUUUAACAUGUUUCGGCAAUCUAACCUGGAGGUUACCAGAGCAGAAGACUACAGAAAUUAGGCUGUCCCUGUUCAGAUUGUGGCACAGGUUGGGCCUCCCUGUGGCAGCAGUGUCCCGCCAUAGUUCCCUGCAGCGGCAGAGGGUGUGCUGUGCUUCCCCUCUGCAGCAGAGGCCUUGCUCAGCCACCCCACAGUACCAGAGGGUCCUGCUGUACCUCCCCGUGGCAGUAGAGGGUGUGCUGGGCUUCCUGCAGCAGCACAGGGUCCUGCCGUACAUCCCCGCAGAGGUGCAGGGGGGACCGCGCUUCACCCCAGUUGCAGAGGGCCUUACUGUGCCUCCUCAUGGGUGGCCGAGGGUGUGCAGCAAGGGCCUUGAUAAGGUUCCCUGCGGUGGCGGUGGGCCUUAAAAUGUAAGGAAGUAGCAGAUUUAAGGAAAACAAUAAACUUCCAUAUAGUAUAUUUAAUAUAUUUUCAACUUAUUUAACAGUAGUUUAUGUGAUUUACCAAUCAAGUUGCACCUGCUUCCCCACUCAGAGGUCUAAGCGGAAUCUGUGCAUGCAAAAGCCCCAAUGAGUUCAACUAAGCUUACUUCUUCUUUCCUGGGAGUAAACCUCAUUGAAUUCAGUAGGGCUUGCUUGUGAGCAGACACGCAAAAAACCCUCUUCACACCAAUCCCUUGAUAUGUAAACACCACCAGAAAACAAAAACAAAAAAUCUCUCCCCUCUUUUUUCACUGGUGGGGGGUGAGUGUGAGAGAAGAAGGAAGUGCUUUCCAGUUCUUUGCCCAGUUAUUUAUUUACUUUGCCUUGUUUACUUUGCUGCUGGAUUUUUUCUUAUUGGUUAGGAGGGAGAGAGCAAACAUAGCAGGAGGCAGGGUGCCUGCAAAUUAUGUGCAAAGUACAGUAUCUGUAAAGUAUCAGUUCAGCUGAGCUACUCCCUGGGAAGCUGUCAUGUUUCCACCUUUUGUUCAACUGUAUAUUGCCUUUUUGAAACACUUAUCACAAUGUUAUAUCAAUACAAUAUAUGGUGGCAAAGCCCUAUUGCUGACAAAAUAUUCCAAGACCCCACUCAGAGGUUUCAGGUAAAUGUUAAGCAGCAUGAGGGAUAAAACUGAACCCUGGGGUUCACUGAAGGCUCCACAGAGACGAAGAGUGCUCCCCAAGUAUCACCCUCUGGAUUGGAGACAACCAUCCCAGUAUGACUGCUACCACCACACAACAGUGCCUCCCACCCAGAACUUGGAUAGCUGCUCCAGAAGAAUACCAUGGUUGAUGGUGACCAAAGCAGUUUCUGUGCCAAAACUGAACACAAAACUCAAUUAAAAUGGAUCUACUGGUAGAAAAUCAGUUUCCUCCAAGAGCACCUGGAUCUGGUCCACAACCACCAACUCAAGAACCUUACCCAAGGAGAGAUUAGCAAUUGGCUGGUAAUUUACUUAGAUUUUCCAAAAAGGCAAGGACCAUCCCCUCUCCUAGGGAGACAUUAAUCACCUUCCUGGCCCAGCCAGCUGCCCCCCUCCCUGCUAGUUUUUAUCAGCCAAGAGAAGCAAGGGUCCAGAGCACGGGGUCACGCUGGCUUACCCAAGGACCCUGUCCACACCUUCAAUCCUUACUAACUUAAACUCAUCUAACAUAACAUGCCUAGACAGUGCUGUGAACGCCUCUCAAGAUUCAUCCGCUGUAACUGGAGUCAUGGUCCUGGCAGAUGCAAAUGAUUUUAUCCUCAAAAUGCUUUGCAAAGAAGUCACAGCGAACUACUGUCAGUUCUCUCACCUCCUUUAUGCCAGACUGUAACAGGCUCCACACUACCCAGAAAAGCUCUGCUGGAUGGCACAAUGAGGGUGCAAUGGAGGCAGCAAAGUCAGCCUUCUUUACUGCCGCUAGGUAAGCUUGAUAAGGAGCCCUCACCAGUUUUCAAUUGCCCUGGAGUUUUCUUAGACUUGUGUUCCAACCGUCUCCCAUCUUGUUUCCUUGGCCUAAGCUGGGAUAUACCAGGGAGCCAAAAGAACUCCAUGAAGUGGAAGAGGGUGCUCUGGAGCGAUUGUGUCAGCAGCCCACAUCAUUUGGAUAUUCCAGAGGUGAGCUAGGGAUUCGACAGGAGUGCAUCAUAUCAGAUGGAAAAAACUCCAGAGCCACCUAGAAACCCAUUGGAUUCACCAGCCUCUUAAAGGUAAAGGUACCCCUGAGCGUUAGGUCCAGUCACGGACGACUCUGGGGUUGCGGCGCUUAUCUCACCCUAUAAGCCGAGGGAGCCGGCGUUUGUCUGCAGACGGCUUCCAGGUCAUGUGGCCAGCAUGACUAAGCCGCUUCUGGCGAACCAGAGCAGCGCACGGAAACUCCGUUUACCUUCCCGCCGGAGCGGUACCUAUUUAUCUACUUGCACUUUGACGUGCUUGCGAACUGCUAGGUUGGCAGGAGCUGGGACUGAGCAACGGGAGCUCACCCUGUUGCGGGGAUUCGGACCGCCAACCUUCUGAUUGACAAGCCCUAGGCUCUGUGGUUUAGACCACAGCACCACCCGCGUCCUCAUCAGCCUCUUAGGGUGGCCCAUUCUCCUAGGUUCCCCACCUGUGUGGAGGGAGAAAGGUGCUGAAAGCCUGAAUCUCAACAGGAAGUGAUGUGACCAUCACAAGGGACUGAUGUCAAAAUCCCCCUACUUUCAGAUCAAUCCUUUUGCUGCCCAGUUGAGAAAACAAGGUCCAGAGUAUGGCCUGGGUUUUUUGUUUUGCAAAACUAGUAUCUGACACCAACACAAUAUCAAAGAGCAUGAAUUACUGAGCACCCAUUUUAGGAUAUUUUUUUAAGGAGAAAUGUUCCUCCGAGAUACAUGAUUGGAUGGUCACUUAUUGGACAAAUCAGCAGAUGGUAAAACUAUGGAUAACUUUAAUCAUACCUAAAGAAAUGUAUUUCCACAUUAUACAUGUUUAACAGGGGAAACAGUCCUUCAGGCUAUAUUCAUGUUACUGAUUACAAAGGUGAACGUUCAGUGGCUCUUAUCUUUCCUGCUGUUUCAGUAUUUUCUUUUUAAGAAAGGGGGAAAUGCUUCUCAUGAAAACUGCCCUGAUUGGGAAUAAUCUCUUUCAUACUUUUCAAUAAAAUUACACAUUGCUUUAUAGAUUCAGAAGAACAUUUUUGAAUAAUUUCUCAGAGGCCCAACUCUGCACACCAACA